rnacentral:tRNA from 3 species
GCCCGGGUGGUGGAAUUGGUAGACGCAGGGGACUCAAAAUCCCCCGCCGCAAGGCGUGCCGGUUCGAUUCCGGCCUCGGGCACCA